rnacentral:lncRNA from 1 species
GAGGGGUAUAGGCAAGCAGCAAAGUAUUGGGCAAGAUCACUGGACUGGGAGUCCAGAGAUGCUGCUUCACCCUGGGGCUUUAGGCAAGUCCCUUUCCCUCCCAGAGCCUCAGCAUCCCUUUUAGCAAAUUAUGACAUUCUGCCUUUCUCCUAGGAUGGCUGUGGGGAUCAAGGGAGACAGUGGCCAUAGGGAUGCUAUGUUAACCGCAGAUGCGGCUGUAGGAGCACUUUCCUAACUGCCAACCAUGGGUGGUCCUCUGAGCACGCCAGGCACGAGUGUGCAGGGAGCUGGUGCAAAUGCCUCUGUGUGCGGGUGAGCAUCUGUGUUGUGACUCUGCCCACGCAUGUACUUCAGUGUGCCGAGUGGCUGCACGCCCCAGAUCCAUGCGGCACGUGCUGGCCGGUGGGAGUGCUGGGCAUUGGGAGGUGGCGGGGAGGGCGACGUAUGCGUGUUGUUUGUGGGCAUGUGUUAAGAGUGUGCAUGCGGGCUGUGGGGCCUCACAGCAUGUGUGUGCACAAUCUGGCGUGUGCGUGUGUCCG